GGCUGGGUAGUCUAGUGGUAGGUUGCUUGACUGGUAACCAAGAAUUGAUGGGUCAAGCCCCCAGUGA